AUUGAACGCUGGCGGCAGGCCUAACACAUGCAAGUCGAACGAGUGGCGGACGGGUGAGUAAUGUCUGGGUAACUGCCUGAUGGAGGGGUAUAACUACUGGAAACGGUAGCUAAUACCGCAUACCAUCGGAUGUGCCCAGAUGGGAUUAGCUUGUUGGUGGGGUAACGGCUCACCAAGUCGACGAUCCCUAGCUGGUCUGAGAGGAUGACAGGCAACACUGGAGCUGAGACGCGGUCCAGACUCCUACGGGAGGAAGCAGUGGGGAAUAUUGCGCAAUGGGCGCAGGCCUGAUGCAGCCAUGCCGCGUGUAUGAAGAAGGACUUCGGGUUGUAAAGUACUUUCAGCGGGGAGGCGUUACCCGCAGAAGAAGCACCGGCUAACUCCGUGCCAGCCGCCGCGGUAAUAC
rnacentral:rRNA from 1 species